GCCGGGCGUCCGCCUCGGCGUCGUGACGUCCUCCGGCAGGUUGAGGUGCGGCUCGCGCCCUCCUCCCAUUGGACCCCGCGCUUCCGAGCACCUAGCAGAUUUCUAAACUUGGUAAUAGUGGCAGUCAUCAUCACAGUGGUAAUAGAAGCAGCAAAUCUUUACUGAGUGCUUAUUCAACCCAUGCAGUGCACUGAAUGUGCUCCAUGAAUGAUCCCACAAGGUAGAUUACACACAGAAGUGAGAACAUGCAGCACUUUUCUUUCCCAGUCUGACUUAUUCCAGUAAGUAUAAUACUGUUGGGACACCCAUGUUUUUGCAAAUGGCAAAAUUUCAUGCUUUUUAUGGCUGAGUAAUAUUCCAUUCUAUCUCUCUCUAUAUAUAAACCACAUCUUUAUAGUGUUCUUUUCUGUAGAAUGUGGUGAUCUUUACAUUUAAUUUCUAUUUCUACAUGUGUGCUUAUUUGCUUUACAAUGUUGCAGCACUUUUCAAAACUAGAGAUUCUGGGAGUUCCCGUCAUGGCUCAGCAGUUA